GCUCCAAUAGCGUAUAUUAAAGUUGUUGCGGUUAAAAAGUUCGUAGUCGAAUUUUGGGCCUGAUUGUGCGGUCUUACCGAAAGGUUUGUACUGCUCUGGUCGGGCCUUUCCUUCUGGGGAACUAUCGUGCUCUUAAUUGAGUGCGUUAGGGAUCCAGGACUUUUUACUUUGAAAAAAUUAGAGUGUUUAAAGCAGGCAUU
rnacentral:rRNA from 1 species